GUUUCAAUAACAUUAACAUUUUCAACAUCUGAUUUAUACAAAAUGCCCUACAAUUGGGACUUUUAAUAUAUUUUUACAGUAGUUAUCAAGUGCCCUUUCAUACGGACUUACCAGCUUACAACAUCAACACAUAAAGGUUGAAACCCCCAAAUUGUAACUAAAAGCAGCUUCCAAACAUAUGGAUGUGCCCAUCAUUACUGACUUUCUAGUCUGCCUUUACAUAAAAAUACAAAAGCUUACACCAAUCACCCUAACUAACUAUAAUCACCCCUAACUUCAAAACACAAAAGACCAAGCAAGCAAACAACAAUGCAACUGUCAUCCUAUACCUGUCUAUUAUCUUCCUUGCAUCAGAAACAUCUUUCUCAUUCUUUGCCACCUUAGACCGCUCUUGUGAUAGCAGGAACUCCAAUUCAACAAUCCUCCUCAAAUUGUUCAUCUCAGACAAUCCUCUUUAGCAUCCAGUUUCUGCUUCAGAGAAUAUAAAAGGUUUUUGUAAUACCCUUAUUCCUGUUCUUUGUCUUUCCAUUCAUAGAAGCUACAUUUCUUCAACUAGUCUGUAAAAAGUCAAUCCAUCAAUAAAUGAAAAUGCUUUGACUUGGAUAGUAAAUGAAGAAUAAGGAAAUCAGCUACCUUUAAUAUGCUAACAAAAUGGGUUUGAUUCACAAUAACAAAUAUUCGUCAAAAAUAAAUAAAAUUAGGGUUUUUUUUUUCAAAAUACAAAUCUACCAUGAUCGUCUUUACACAAAGAAACACCACAGUCAGACACUAUAAUACUAAGGUAGCAUGAUCAGGAUUAUCGGGACCUACCAAACUGUUUUGACAAUUCCAGAAACGCCUCUCAAGGUUUGUUAUCUUACAACACGUUCGUUCUUUAGCUGGAACGCCGCAAUCGCAAAGCUUUACCCGUCCUCGCGACUGAACACGAGUCACUUGUAGCUAAUUCCUUGAAGUGGAUGAGCUUAAAGACAUUGUUCUUGAGGAUGGAAAGAGUCGGUGGAAAGUAUUUGAGUUUUCAUAAAAGGGUAAGAAACACUUAAAUCAUGGUCCGAUUGAGAGUUUCAAUUAAUAUGGGUUGUUGGACAACUCAAUUCUUCGACACAUCAGUAUCCCACGUAAGCUUAUUGGACACAUCAGCAUGCCACAAAAGCAUGUAAACCGUCUAAUUUUUUAGAUAAUUGUGUAAUUAAAAGGUAAAAAUGGAGUUUAGUGGUCUAAUGUACAAAAA
rnacentral:lncRNA from 1 species